GUGUUUUGACUGGGACUUACUUGGUGGUGGUUUGUGACUGUCUGAGGUCGCCGGUGGUAGCUUGGCGCUGUCAGACCCCUUUGAUUCCCUCAUCCGCCGGAGCACAUCCUCUGAGAGCUGGACAGGAACGUGACAAUUGACUAAAUGUGCACACAAACACACACCAGCCCCUUGGUGCGCGUACGGGACAGCUGUGUGUCUUGGAAAGUAGCAGAUUAAAUGGCUCACUGGUUAAAGAGACCAUCCUCCAGGCCAGGUGAAGUGCCCUUGAGCAAUAAUUUAAGUGACAACCAGAUCCAGAUGUGCUGCUGUACACAGUUGUACCUCUGGUCCUCCUCAUAGCACAUAGCAGAGCACUGCCCAGGCCCUGGACGAGGUUCAGUAGAGACAGGAUGGCAGCAUACACAUAGAAACUCCUCUUAGCUGGUUAAAGGAAGCAAAAUGGACAACAGAGGACAAACACGUUAGAUUACAUGACAUCAUGCAGAGUUUUAGGUUACUGACCAGGAAGAAGAAGCUGGAGCUGGCCAGCCAGAAGUGCCGUCCUCCGUGACCGUAGAUGUUGAAGUCCUCAGCGGACAGGUGACUGUCUGGAUACAGGAUCUCUAGUGUGCCCUAGAACAAUGUCUCAUUCAUUAUAAUUGCAUACAGAAUGACAAUUUACCGAUUGUCAGUUUACCAGUGACGCGUUUAAACAUUGUUUCACCUCUUAUCACCUGUCAUUACCUGUGUGAUGGAGUAGCCCAGAGCCAGCACAGCAGUGAUAGCCAGCACACGCUUAAUACUGGACUUGCUCUCCAGGUGACCUGAUGAAUGAAUAAAGAAAAGAGGCUUGACAGAAACAAAAAGCUGUACAGACUUUCAGUUACAGUCAUGGUUAGGUUCAGGGCUGAAAAGGAUAAACUAUAAAAAGGGACGUUUGAAAUGGAUCAUGUGAAAAGAGAGAGAAAUACCAAAUUGGUUCAAACAUACAGUAAAUGAGAACUGAAACCAG